rnacentral:rRNA from 1 species
AGGACGAACGCUGGCGGCGUGCUUAACACAUGCAAGUCGAACGGUGAAGCCCUUUCGGGGGUGGAUCAGUGGCGAACGGGUGAGUAACACGUGAGCAACCUGCCCUUGACUCUGGGAUAACUUCGGGAAACCGGAGCUAAUACCGGAUAUGACACGCGGAGGCAUCUCCUGUGUGUGGAAAGAUUUAUUGGUCAAGGAUGGGCUCGCGGCCUAUCAGCUAGUUGGUGGGGUAAUGGCCUACCAAGGCGACGACGGGUAG